rnacentral:rRNA from 1 species
CAGCCGCCACGGUAAUACGUAGGUGGCAAGCGUUGUCCGGAAUUAUUGGGCGUAAAGGGCUCGCAGGCGGUUUCUUAAGUCCGAUGUGAAAGCCCCCGGCUCAACCGGGGAGGGUCAUUGGAAACUGGGAAACUUGAGUGCAGAAGAGGAGAGUGGAACUCCACGUGAAGCGGUGAAAUGCGUAGAGAUGUGGAGGAACACCAGUGGCGAAGGCGACUCUCUGGUCUGUAACUGACGCUGAGGAGCGAAAGCGUGGGGAGCGAACAGGAUUAGAUACCCGCGUAGUCCCUGUCUCUUAUAC